UACGGGGGGGGCAAGCGUUGUUCGGAAUUACUGGGCGUAAAGGGCUCGUAGGUGGCCAACUAAGUCGGACGUGAAAUCCCUCAGCUUAACUGGGGAACUGCGUCCGAUACUGGAUGGCUUGAGUUUGGGAGAGGGAUGCGGAAUUCCAGGUGUAGCGGUGAAAUGCGUAGAUAUCAAGGGGAACACCUGCGGCGAAGGCGGGUUGCUGGGCCGACACUGACGCUGAGAAGCGAAAGCAUGGGGAGCGAACAGGA
rnacentral:rRNA from 1 species